rnacentral:lncRNA from 1 species
GGCCCAGACACCAGCGGCGCCCAGGCAGCUGUGGCCUGCACUCUCUCUUGCAUCCAUUUUCCAUGGCUGCCGUAACAAAGUCUGUCCGAUGCAGAGGCCCUGGCAGCCUCGGACUGCUGCGUGAGCCUGGGCCUCGGGCCUGCUGCAGGCAGACCGCAAGCAGGCUGAGGUUUGCUUUCACAUGCUCCUGAAACUGCGGCCCAGCCUCCAGGGUCGGGGAUUCGCUGAGUCCCAGCGGCUUCUGUUUCUGAUACGGAGAAACUCUCGUUUCCUCUCAGGAAGAGGCUCAGGGUGCUGUAGGUCCUCAUUACCGUGUAAUGUCGAGUCCGAAACGGCUCUGGGCAGAGAGAGAACAGCAUCCACAGGUACAGACCUCGCUGCCGCUCCUGGUGAAUCUCUCAUCUGCCGCCAAAACCAGAGAGGCCUGAUCCUGAGCUCAAGGGAGGCUGAGGAAGCCUCUGGCCAAGUCAGUCAGCCUCCAACUGAGGGGCAGGACACGUAUCUACACAAGGACUUUGCCAGCUCCUUAUCUGGUGGAUUGAACUUGGGACCUUUCGAGGCAGGCACGGUGCCACUGAGCUAAAUCCCUGGCGCCUCUGUGCUUUCUAACAAGAUGGGCGUCUUCAUGAGUCUCCUGGGCACAAUCAGGUGACAGGAUAUCGUCGUCCCGCCCUCCUCCGUCCUGGGCAGGGGCAGGGUAUCCCAAGACCAGGCGGGGUGGAGGGCAACGGUGGGGAAUGAAGAGGUUCUGGGUAAACUGCCAGGGCCGUGGGGAAGAGAGGGGAAGACGGCGUGGGUGGGAUAUUGUCGCCCGCAGACACCCAGGCUGAGCCCUGGAACUGCAGAUAAUAUUCCCCAAAAGGAAAAAAUGCCGGGGGUGGAGAGUUUCAGUCCCGUAUCACAGGGCUGGCUGCUCUGCCACUACCUCCAGGGGCCCAGCCUCCCGCCGUCUCCUUAGCAUGCGAAAGACCCCGCUCGGGAACUUCCGAAGGGCUUAGGGGCCCAGGCCAGGAGCCAGGAGAAAAGCAACAUUUAUGCUCAUUGUGCAGUAGCGUCUCAGGUGGCUCUUCACAUGGUGGAGGGGUGGAGAGGGAGUUAAGGAUGCUGACUGAUCGACCCUAACAGGGAGAUUUUCCUGAGCUGCGUGCUGGGCCCAGUGUCACCAGGUCCCUAACACAGAAGGCAGAGCUGAGUGUGUGGGGCACGCACACGACCCGCACACCGGGAAGCUGAGACCGGAGGAUGGCAAGUGCCAGGCCUGGGGAAGGCAGCAAUUCAGCAAGCUCUUGUCUCAAAACCCAGUAAACGAGCUCAGGUGGAGGCCUGGGUUUAGUCCACUGUACAGGUUAAAAAGGUGGAAAGGAGGCGUUGCGACCAAAAAUGGAGGAACGGAGAGGAGAGCAGUGGCCCCGCCUCCCGCAGCUUCCAGAAGGGAACCGGGGCUGCGGGAUCAGGCUUGAGGGUCUCAUGGGUCUCUCCCGCAGGGCUGUGCGCGUGGGCUCCGCAGACAUCGGCGCAGACGGUGAUUCCUGCCGCGCCUCUCUGCCCCUCGGCCUCACGUCCCCCUGCUUCCUGAGCCAGGACGCCCACGGAUGCGAC